rnacentral:rRNA from 1 species
GCAAGUCGAGCGGAAACGAGUUAUCUGAACCUUCGGGGAACGAUAACGGCGUCGAGCGGCGGACGGGUGAGUAAUGCCUAGGAAAUUGCCCUGAUGUGGGGGAUAACCAUUGGAAACGAUGGCUAAUACCGCAUGAUGCCUACGGGCCAAAGAGGGGGACCUUCGGGCCUCUCGCGUCAGGAUAUGCCUAGGUGGGAUUAGCUAGUUGGUGAGGUAAGGGCUCACCAAGGCGACGAUCCCUAGCUGGUCUGAGAGGAUGAUCAGCCACACUGGAACUGAGACACGGUCCAGACUCCUACGGGAGGCAGCAGUGGGGAAUAUUGCACAAUGGGCGCAAGCCUGAUGCAGCCAUGCCGCGUGUGUGAAGAAGGCCUUCGGGUUGUAAAGCACUUUCAGUCGUGAGGAAGGUGGUGUAGUUAAUAGCUGCAUUAUUUGACGUUAGCGACAGAAGAAGCACCGGCUAACUCCGUGCCAGCAGCCGCGGUAAUACGGAGGGUGCGAGCGUUAAUCGGAAUUACUGGGCGUAAAGCGCAUGCAGGUGGUUUGUUAAGUCAGAUGUGAAAGCCCGGGGCUCAACCUCGGAAUAGCAUUUGAAACUGGCAGACUAGAGUACUGUAGAGGGGGGUAGAAUUUCAGGUGUAGCGGUGAAAUGCGUAGAGAUCUGAAGGAAUACCGGUGGCGAAGGCGGCCCCCUGGACAGAUACUGACACUCAGAUGCGAAAGC